rnacentral:rRNA from 1 species
GGUUAAGUGACUAAGCGUACACGGUGGAUGCCUUGGCAGUCAGAGGCGAUGAAAGACGUAGUAACUUGCGAUAAGCCCAGAUUAGGUAGUAACAACCAUUUGAGUCUGGGAUUUCUGAAUGGGGAAACCCACGUGCAUAAGCACGUAUCCUUACCUGAAUACAUAGGGUAAGGAGGCGAACCGGGGGAACUGAAACAUCUAAGUACCCCGAGGAAAAGAAAUCAACCGAGAUUCCGAAAGUAGCGGCGAGCGAAAUUGGACUAGCCCUUAAGCUUUACACGCGUUAGACGAACGGUCUGGAAAGUCCGACGAUACAGGGUGAUAGUCCCGUAGUUGACGACGUGUGUUCAGUGAAAUCGAGUAGGGCGGGACACGUGAUAUCCUGUCUGAAUAUGGGGGGACCAUCCUCCAAGGCUAAAUACUACUGACUGACCGAUAGUGAACCAGUACCGUGAGGGAAAGGCGAAAAGAACCCCUGUGAGGGGAGUGAAAUAGAACCUGAAACCGUGUACGUACAAGCAGUAGGAGCAGGCUUUGUCCUGUGACUGCGUACCUUUUGUAUAAUGGGUCAGCGACUUAUAUUCAGUGGCAAGGUUAACCAUCUAGGGGAGCCGUAGGGAAACCGAGUCUUAACUGGGCGUUCAGUCUCUGGAUAUAGACCCGAAACCAGGUGAUCUAGCCAUGGGCAGGUUGAAGGUUGAGUAACAUCAACUGGAGGACCGAACCGACUAAUGUUGAAAAAUUAGCGGAUGACUUGUGGCUAGGGGUGAAAGGCCAAUCAAACCUGGAGAUAGCUGGUUCUCCCCGAAAGCUAUUUAGGUAGCGCCUCGGACGAAUACUACUGGGGGUAGAGCACUGUUAAGGCUAGGGGGUCAUCCCGACUUACCAACCCUUUGCAAACUCCGAAUACCAGUAAGUACUAUCCGGGAGACACACGGCGGGUGCUAACGUCCGUCGUGGAGAGGGAAACAACCCAGACCGCCAGCUAAGGUCCCAAAUUACUACUAAGUGGGAAACGAUGUGGGAAGGCUCAGACAGCCAGGAUGUUGGCUUAGAAGCAGCCAUCAUUUAAAGAAAGCGUAAUAGCUCACUGGUCGAGUCGGCCUGCGCGGAAGAUGUAACGGGGCUAAGUAGUAAACCGAAGCUGCGGCAAUGUGCUUUUGCACAUUGGGUAGGGGAGCGUUCUGUAAGCGGUUGAAGGUGUGUGGUAACGCAUGCUGGACGUAUCAGAAGUGCGAAUGCUGACAUGAGUAACGAUAAAGGGGGUGAAAAACCUCCUCGCCGGAAGACCAAGGGUUCCUGUCCAACGUUAAUCGGGGCAGGGUAAGUCGACCCCUAAGGCGAGGCCGAAAGGCGUAGUCGAUGGGAAACGGGUUAAUAUUCCCGUACUUCUUACAAUUGCGAUGGGGGGACGGAGAAGGCUAGGUGGGCCUGGCGACGGUUGUCCAGGUUCAAGUGCGUAGGCU